CCUACGGGGGGCUGCAGUGGGGAAUAUUGGACAAUGGGCGAAAGCCUGAUCCAGCCAUGCCGCGUGUGUGAAGAAGGUCUUCGGAUUGUAAAGCACUUUAAGUUGGGAGGAAGAGCAGUUACCUAAUACGUGAUUGUUUUGACGUUACCGACAGAAUAAGCACCGGCUAACUCUGUGCCAGCAGCCGCGGUAAUACAGAGGGUGCAAGCGUUAAUCGGAAUUACUGGGCGUAAAGCGCGCGUAGGUGGUUAGUUAAGUUGGAUGUGAAAUCCCCGGGCUCAACCUGGGAACUGCAUUCAAAACUGACUGACUAGAGUACGGUAGAGGGUGGUGGAAUUUCCUGUGUAGCGGUGAAAUGCGUAGAUAUAGGAAGGAACACCAGUGGCGAAGGCGACCACCUGGACUGAUACUGACACUGAGGUGCGAAAGCGUGGGGAGCAAACAGGAUUAGAUACCCCAGUAGUC
rnacentral:rRNA from 1 species